rnacentral:lncRNA from 1 species
AAACGGUAGGUAGGCGGCGGAUGUGUGACGUUUGAAGUUGUCGUUCGUACACCUGUCCCCAAUGGAAGAAUGAGUGAGAUUUUCCCCUGCAUAUCAUGGCCUUACCACUCGGUCCCCGAUGGCCAGUGGGGGAUUCGGUAUAGCAGCUCACGUUCCUUUGCGCUGCGCGUUCCCGCUAGACUGGACACAUCUUAGCUGUAGGAAGUAUGGUUUCGAAAGUGACUUCGGUUCGCCAGUUCAGGCUCAACUCCUCGCUUUACGUU